GAUGAACGCUGGCGGCGUGCUUAACACAUGCAAGUCGAACGAUGAAGCCCAGCUUGCUGGGUGGAUUAGUGGCGAACGGGUGAGUAACACGUGAGUAACCUGCCCUUGACUCUGGGAUAAGCCUGGGAAACUGGGUCUAAUACUGGAUAUGACUUCUCAUCGCAUGGUGGGGGGUGGAAAGAUUUAUUGGUCUUGGAUGGACUCGCGGCCUAUCAGCUUGUUGGUGAGGUAAUGGCUCACCAAGGCGACGACGGGUAGCCGGCCUGAGAGGGUGACCGGCCACACUGGGACUGAGACACGGCCCAGACUCCUACGGGAGGCAGCAGUGGGGAAUAUUGUACAAUGGGCGCAAGCCUGAUGCAGCGACGCCGCGUGAGGGAUGACGGCCUUCGGGUUGUAAACCUCUUUCAGUAGGGAAGAAGCGAGAGUGACGGUACCUGCAGAAGAAGCGCCGGCUAACUACGUG
rnacentral:rRNA from 1 species